AUUGAACGCUGGCGGCAGGCCUAACACAUGCAAGUCGAACGGUAACAGGAAGCAGCUUGCUGCUUUGCUGACGAGUGGCGGACGGGUGAGUAAUGUCUGGGAAACUGCCCGAUGGAGGGGGAUAACUACUGGAAACGGUAGCUAAUACCGCAUAACGUCGCAAGACCAAAGAGGGGGACCUUAGGGCCUCUUGCCAUCGGAUGUGCCCAGAUGGGAUUAGCUAGUAGGUGGGGUAACGGCUCACCUAGGCGACGAUCCCUAGCUGGUCUGAGAGGAUGACCAACCACACUGGAACUGAGACACGGUCCAGACUCCUACGGGAGGCAGCAGUGGGGAAUAUUGCACAAUGGGCGCAAGCCUGAUGCAGCCAUGCCGCGUGUAUGAAGAAGGCCUUCGGGUUGUAAAGUACUUUCAGCGGGGAGGAAGGGAGUAAAGUUAAUACCUUUGCUCAUUGACGUUACCCGCAGAAGAAGCACCGGCUAACUCCGUG
rnacentral:rRNA from 1 species